rnacentral:tRNA from 1 species
UCCCUGGUGGCCCAGUGGCUAAGAUUCUGUGCUCCUAAUUCAGGGGAUCUGGGUUCAACUCCUGGUCAGGGAA